rnacentral:lncRNA from 1 species
UUUGUAGAGAUAAACGGCUAUUUUAUGUAAUAUUAGGGACGUCAUUUGGUUGCAUGCAGUUGUAAUUAUACUGCAGUUGUAAUUACAUACAAAUGCAAAUUCGGUGUUUGAUUUGAUGCAUAUAUUUAACUCCAACUGUCACCGUAGAAAUUACAGGAGGAGGCCCAACUACAACAGUUAAAACUACGUUCAAAUAGACUACAGUUCCAACUAGAGCACUUGUAAAGAAUAAUUUUAAACAACAUGUA